rnacentral:lncRNA from 1 species
ACAAAGAUCAGUCCACAUCACCACCAACAGUAUCCAAGACCCAGACUCCAGCACCACCAUCAUCACCAGCACCCCCCUCACCCCCCCCCCCCCCCCCCCCCCCCCCCCCCCCCCCCCCCCCCCCCCCCCCCCCCCCCCCCCCCCCCCCCCCCCCCCCCCCCCCCCCCCCCCCCCCCCCCCCCCCCCCCCCCCCCCCCCCCCCCCCCCCCCCCCCCCCCCCCCCCCCCCCCCCCCCCCCCCCCCCCCCCCCCCCCCCCCCCCCCCCCCCCCCCCCCCCCCCCCCCCCCCCCCCCCCCCCCCCCCCCCCCCCCCCCCCCCCCCCCCCCCCCCCCCCCCCCCCCCCCCCCCCCCCCCCCCCCCCCCCCCCCCCCCCCCCCCCCCCCCCCCCCCCCCCCCCCCCCCCCCCCCCCCCCCCCCCCCCCCCCCCCCCCCCCCCCCCCCCCCCCCCCCCCCCCCCCCCCCCCCCCCCCCCCCCCCCCCCCCCCCCCCCCCCCCCCCCCCCCCCCCCCCCCCCCCCCCCCCCCCCCCCCCCCCCCCCCCCCCCCCCCCCCCCCCCCCCCCCCCCCCCCCCCCCCCCCCCCCCCCCCCCCCCCCCCCCCCCCCCCCCCCCCCCCCCCCCCCCCCCCCCCCCCCCCCCCCCCCCCCCCCCCCCCCCCCCCCCCCCCCCCCCCCCCCCCCCCCCCCCCCCCCCCCCCCCCCCCCCCCCCCCCCCCCCCCCCCCCCCCCCCCCCCCCCCCCCCCCCCCCCCCCCCCCCCCCCCCCCCCCCCCCCCCCCCCCCCCCCCCCCCCCCCCCCCCCCCCCCCCCCCCCCCCCCCCCCCCCCCCCCCCCCCCCCCCCCCCCCCCCCCCCCCCCCCCCCCCCCCCCCCCCCCCCCCCCCCCCCCCCCCCCCCCCCCCCCCCCCCCCCCCCCCCCCCCCCCCCCCCCCCCCCCCCCCCAGGACAAAGCUGACCCACACGUUCCGAGGGGCCCUGAGCAAGUUCCACCAGACUUACCUUGUGGGGAGUUGAAUAGCCCCAACAACUCCACGUACUG